rnacentral:rRNA from 1 species
UACGAAGGGGGCUAGCGUUGUUCGGAUUUACUGGGCGUAAAGCGCACGUAGGCGGAUCGAUCAGUCAGGGGUGAAAUCCCAGGGCUCAACCCUGGAACUGCCUUUGAUACUGUCGAUCUGGAGUAUGGAAGAGGUGAGUGGAAUUCCGAGUGUAGAGGUGAAAUUCGUAGAUAUUCGGAGGAACACCAGUGGCGAAGGCGGCUCACUGGCCCGGUACUGACGCUGAGGUGCGAAAGCGUGGGGAGCAAACAGG